rnacentral:rRNA from 1 species
AUUGAACGCUGGCGGCAUGCUUUUACACAUGCAAGUCGGACGGCAGCACAGAGAAGCUUGCUUCUUGGGUGGCGAGUGGCGAACGGGUGAGUAAUAUAUCGGAACGUACCGAGUAAUGGGGGAUAACUAAUCGAAAGAUUAGCUAAUACCGCAUAUUCUCUGAGGAGGAAAGCAGGGGACCUUCGGGCCUUGCGUUAUUCGAGCGGCCGAUAUCUGAUUAGCUAGUUGGUGGGGUAAAGGCCUACCAAGGCGACGAUCAGUAGCGGGUCUGAGAGGAUGAUCCGCCACACUGGGACUGAGACACGGCCCAGACUCCUACGGGAGGCAGCAGUGGGGAAUUUUGGACAAUGGGCGCAAGCCUGACCCAGCCAUGCCGCGUGUCUGAAGAAGGCCUUCGGGUUGUAAAGGACUUUUGUCAGGGAAGAAAAGGCUGUUGCUAAUAUCGACAGCUGAUGACGGUACCUGAAGAAUAAGCACCGGCUAACUACGUG